rnacentral:rRNA from 1 species
GAUGUUUCGAUUAUGGCUCAGAUUGAACGCUGGCGGUAUGCCGACACAUGCAAGUCGAAUGGUAACAGGCCUUCGGGCGCUGACGAGUGGCGGACGGGUGAGUAACGCGUAGGAAUCUGCCUCAUAGUGGGGGACAACGUGGGGAAACUCACGCUAAUACCGCAUACGCCCUACGGGGGAAAGGAGGGGAUCUUCGGACCUUUCGCUAUGAGAUGAGCCUGCGUUAGAUUAGCUAGUUGGUAGGGUAAAGGCCUACCAAGGCGACGAUCUAUAGCUGGUCUGAGAGGACGAUCAGCCACACUGGGACUGAGACACGGCCCAGACUCCUACGGGAGGCAGCAGUGGGGAAUAUUGGACAAUGGGCGAAAGCCUGAUCCAGCAAUACCGCGUGUGUGAAGAAGGCCUUAGGGUUGUAAAGCACUUUCAAUUGGGAGGAAAACCUGCCGGCCAAUACCCGGUAGCUUGACAUUACCUUUAGAAGAAGCACCGGCUAACUCCGUGCCAGCAGCCGCGGUAAUACGGAGGGUGCGAGCGUUAAUCGGAAUUACUGGGCGUAAAGCGUGCGUAGGCGGUUCGUUAAGUCAGAUGUGAAAGCCCUGGGCUCAACCUGGGAACUGCAUUUGAAACUGGCGGACUAGAGUUUAGUAGAGGGGAGUGGAAUUUCAGGUGUAGCGGUGAAAUGCGUAGAUAUCUGAAGGAACACCAGUGGCGAAGGCGACUCCCUGGACUAGAACUGACGCUGAGGUACGAAAGCGUGGGUAGCAAACAGGAUUAGAUACCCUGGUAGUCCACGCCGUAAACGAUAUCGACUAGCCGUUGGCCCUAUU